GGUCGGGACGCUUGGCGCCUGGCCUCCGAGCUGCAGCUGCUGCUCACUUCCCUCGGUGCGUGGGUUGGCUCCUAGUGUUGGAGCGAGCGUCCUUCCAGCCCAGCGGCGCUGGUGGCCCAGGUGAGGGCUGUGUGGGGCAGAGGACCGAGGCGCAGGCGGUGCUGCGGCGCGGGUACAGGGCACAGUUGCCCAGGUCAGGCUCCUGUUGCACCCCUCUCGGGAUUCCCAGUGUUUCCACAUUGGCUGUCUCCCGGGACGUUGGCGAGACGGGCAUGUGACAGUUUGUGGCAUGGCACUGACCAGAAUUAGGGACUGCAGCAAGCAUCAGAAUUUGCCUGAACCCUGGACGGAGCAGCGUGGGGCCGCCUGCCGCCUGGGGUCCAUCCCCGUAGACUGGAUAUAGUUUCC